AAGGUGUGGAGCCGAAGGGAAACCAAGUCUUAAUAGGGCGUCAAGUCAGUCGGAGUAGACCCGAAACCGGGUGAUCUACCCAUGUCCAGGUUGAAGUUGCCGUAAAAGGCAAUGGAGGACCGAACGCACAUCCGUUGAAAAGGGUGGCGAUGAGGUGUGGGUAGGGGAGAAAUUCCAAUCGAACCCGGAGAUAGCUGGUUCUCCUCGAAAUAGCUUUAGGGCUAGCCUUAUACAAGUCUUGCGGAGGUAGAGCACUGAAUUUCCUAGGGGGCGUCAAAGCUUACCAAAGAAUAUCAAACUCCGAAUGCCGCGUAGAUGAUGUAUGGGAGUCAGACUACACGAGAUAAGUUGGGUGGUCAAAAGGGAAAGAGCCCAGACCUACAGCUAAGGUCCCAAAAUGUGUGUUAAGUGGAAAAGGAUGUGAGAUUUCGAAGACAACUAGGAUGUUGGCUUAGAAGCAGCCAUACAUUAAAAGAGUGCGUAAUAGCUCACUAGUCGAGAGGUCUUGCGCCGAAAAUGUCCGGGGCUAAAACACACUACCGAAGCUUAGGGAUUGACGAAUGUCAAUCGGUAGAGGAGCAUUCUUAACUGCGACGAAGCUGUACCGAUAAGGAGCAGUGGAGUGUUAAGAAGAGAGAAUGCCGGAAUGAGUAGCGAGAGGAAGGUGAGAAUCCUUCCGGCCGAAUAUCUAAGGUUUCCAGAGUAAAGCUGAUCUGCUCUGGGUAAGUCGGGGCCUAAGGCGAGGUCGAAAGACGUAGUCGAUGGAUAACUGGUUGAAAUUCCAGUACUAUGAUAUAACAGAACUGUGGGGACGCAUAAGGAAAGCGAGAGCCGGGAAUGGAAAAACCGGUACAAGCGAGGUACCAGUGUGGUUGGCAAAUCCGCCAUACAAUGGGAAGACGUGACGUGGAUCGAACUAAAGUAGAGAAGCUCGUGAGCCAUGUGCCAAGAAAAGCCGCUAUUGUUUAUAUCAUACCCGUACCGUAAACCGACACAGGUGGAUGAGGAGAGAAUCCUAAGGCCGACGGGAGAAGCAUUGUUAAGGAACUCGGCAAAAUGACUCCGUAACUUCGGGAGAAGGAGUGCCAACGCAAGUUGGUCGCAGAGAAUUGGUCCAAGCAACUGUUUAGCAAAAACACAGCUCUAUGCAAAACCGAAAGGUGAAGUAUAUGGGGUGACGCCUGCCCGGUGCUGGAAGGUUAAGGGGAGAGGUUAGCGCAAGCGAAGCUUUGAACUUAAGCCCCAGUAAACGGCGGCCGUAACUAUAACGGUCCUAAGGUAGCGAAAUUCCUUGUCGGGUAAGUUCCGACCCGCACGAAAGGCGUAAUGAUUUGGACACUGUCUCAACAAUGCACCCGGUGAAAUUGAAAUACCAGUGAAGAUGCUGGUUACCUGCGCCAGGACGGAAAGACCCCAUGGAGCUUUACUCUAGCUUGAUACUGGGAUUCGAUAUUGCAUGUACAGGAUAGGUGGGAGACUAGGAAUCUAUGACGCCAGUCAU
rnacentral:ncRNA from 1 species